rnacentral:rRNA from 1 species
CAAUAGCGUAUAUUAAAGUUGUUGCAGUUAAAAAGCUCGUAGUUGGAGUUCAGAGUGAGCUCAGCCGGUCGGCCUCAUGGGUCAGAACUGGUCGACUCUCUCUUGUUUGUGGAUCCCGCCCGGAGUUAACUCUUCGGGAUGUGGAGUUCACAUCGUUUACCUUGAAAAAAUUAGAGUGUUCAAAGCAGGCGUUUGCUUGAAUAUAUUAGCAUGGAAUAAUGGAAUAGGACCCUGGUUCUAUUUUGUUGGUUUUGAGAACCAGAGUAAUGAUUAAUAGGGAUAGUUGGGGGCAUUCAUAUUUCAUUGUCAGAGGUGAAAUUCUUGGAUUUAUGAAAGAUGAACUUCUGCGAAAGCAUUUGCCAAGGAUGUUUUCAUUAAUCAAGAACGAAAGUUAGGGGAU